rnacentral:rRNA from 1 species
GAUUAGAUUUUAUUUAUUAAUUAUUAAUAUUAAAUUUUAAAAUAUUAGAAAUAACUAUAAAUUUAAGUGUUUUAGUAUUGUUUAAAGAAAAAAUAAUUUUAAUAAUAGUGCAAUAGUAUUGUGAAAGAAAAUUGAAAUAAUUUGAAAAAUUUUUAUUAUAAAAGAAAAUUUAAUUUAUUGUACCUUGUGUAUCAGCGUUUAUUAAAUAAAAAAUAAAUAUUUAUUUUUCUCGAUUUUAAAAGAGUUAAUAUAAUAUAUAAGUUAAUGUGACAAAAUUAUUUAAAAUAUUAUAUUAGAAAUGAAAUGUUAUUCGUUUUUAAAGGUAUCUAGUUUUUCAAGAAAUAAAUUUAAUUUAGAAAUUAUAAAUUUAUUUAGUUAUUUAAAAAAUUAAAUAAUUUAUAAUUUUAAUAUUUUAUGGGAUAAGCUAUAAAAUAAAUUUUUAAAAAUAAUAAAUAAAUUUAAUAAAUAUAUGCUUAGAAUUAGCAAUUAUUAAAAAAUUUGUUAUAAUUUAUUUUAUAAAUUAAAUUAUUUAUUAAAUUUUAAUUAUUUAUUGAAAUAUUAAUUUUAAUUAAUAAAAUUAAGAAAUAAUGAUAGAAUUAGUAUAUUUUUAUGUAAAAAUAAAUUUUAAUGAUAAGUUUAAAUAAAGAAUUCGGCAAAAAUAAUGUUCGCCUGUUUAACAAAAACAUGUCUUUUUGAAUUAAAUAUAAAGUCUAACCUGCCCACUGAAAAUUUUUAAAUGGCCGCAGUAUUCUGACUGUGCAAAGGUAGCAUAAUCAUUAGUCUUUUAAUUGAAGGCUGGAAUGAAUGGUUGGACGAAAUAUUAACUGUUUCAUUUAAAAUUAAAAUAGAAUUUUAUUUUUUAGUCAAAAAGCUAAAAUAAAUUUAAAAGACGAGAAGACCCUAUAAAUCUUUAUAUUUUGUUUAUUUUAAUUAUAAAGAUUAAUUUAAUUUUAAUAAAUUAAAAUAUUUUAUUGGGGUGAUAUUAAAAUUUAAAAAACUUUUAAUUUUUAAAAACAUUAAUUUAUGAAUAAUUGAUCCAUUAAUAAUGAUUAAAAAAUUAAGUUACUUUAGGGAUAACAGCGUAAUUUUUUUGGAGAGUUCAUAUCGAUAAAAAAGAUUGCGACCUCGAUGUUGGAUUAAGAUAUAAUUUUGGGUGUAGCCGUUCAAAUUUUAAGUCUGUUCGACUUUUAAAUUCUUACAUGAUCUGAGUUCAAACCGGUGUAAGCCAGGUUGGUUUCUAUCUUUAAAAAUUUGUAAUAUUUUAGUACGAAAGGACCAAAUAUUAAAAUAAUUAUAUUUAAAAUGAUGAAUAUUAUUAAUAUUAUAUAAAAUAUAAACUAUUUUGGCAGAUUAGUGCAAUAA